UUAUUUAGUCAAUAAAUGCAGUAAACAUGCCUGAAUAAUACCUGUAAUGAAGAGCAGAGGUAAAAGGAAGAAUAAAAGGAUAAAAGCAGGACAAAGGAGGACUUCACACACACACACACACACACACACAUGAGCACGGCGGGUUCUUAGAGUCCUUCAGAAAUGGCUGCGUGUGAAGAUGAAAGCCGACCUCCUGUCUAUGACGGACACAAAAGAGAGAGAGACUCACCCGUGUCCUGGUCACACAGCUGUUCGCAGGGUUCCGUGGUCCUCUGGCCGCAGUAAUCGCGAACCCACUGUGAGGACGAGUUGGACUGGUAAUACAGCGUCAGCUUGGCCGGGUUCAGCCAGUUGGAGACAUCCAGUGAUGGAUGAGCGUUGAUGAGGACGGGGAGACUGGAGAGGUGGUCGUCUUCUGACCAGAAGAUGUGUGCGCGCGUGUGUGUGUGUGAUUGUGCAAGUAAAAGGUAACUUGAAGCUGAAAAGCUAUUAUAAAAAUUAAAAAAAAAAAAAAAGAGACUGAGUUCACCAUCACUACCCACCUGUCUGCGCCUCAGUGUCCCACCCACCCUCAGGGACAUUCUACAAAGGGUUCGAAAAAAAAAAUCCACCUUUUGGUGAAGUCGCUUCAUCUCCCAGUGAAAAAAAAUGA